GAAGGACUUUCGGCCCUUCGGAGUCGCCCUGCGGGGGGAGGCUUCAAACCGCCACAUGCUGCGGAAGCGGUGACGCGACCGUGGUGAGCGACUGUGGAAAAGGCGUCCGUGAGGCGUCAGGU
rfam:Streptomyces zinciresistens K42 contig00301, whole genome shotgun sequence.